rnacentral:rRNA from 1 species
GAUGAACGCUAGCUACAGGCUUAACACAUGCAAGUCGAGGGGAAACGACAUCGAAAGCUUGCUUUUGAUGGGCGUCGACCGGCGCACGGGUGAGUAACGCGUAUCCAACCUGCCCACCACUUGGGGAUAACCUUGCGAAAGUAAGACUAAUACCCAAUGAUAUCUCUAGAAGACAUCUGAAGGAGAUUAAAGAUUUAUCGGUGAUGGAUGGGGAUGCGUCUGAUUAGCUUGUUGGCGGGGUAACGGCCCACCAAGGCGACGAUCAGUAGGGGUGUGGAGAGAAAGGGCCACCACAUUGGAACUGAGACACGGUCCAAACUCCUACGGGAGGCAGCAGUGAGGAAUAUUGGUCAAUGGGCGAGAGCUUGAACCAGCCAAGUAGCGUGCAGGAUGACGGCCCUAUGGGUUGUAAACUGCUUUUAUAAGGGAAUAAAGUGAGCCUCGUGAGGCUUUUUGCAUGUACCCUAUGAAUAAGGACCGGCUAAUUCCGUGCCAGCAGCCGCGGUAA